rnacentral:lncRNA from 1 species
CGUGAUCUCGAUGACGCAACAGUAGCUAUGUUAAUUUGUUAUUGCUACAGUCUAAUUUUCACUCUACAAAUUAAGUUUUACAGAAAAGGACGAGAGAAGACUUCAUGCCAGAAAUUGUGGAAGUGUUGGAGGCAGCCUGAAAUGAGGGUAUGACUUCUGGCAAGAAGUGUCAGAAAAAGAUAGAGGAAGUUUCCAUUGCAUUGAAUAUUCAGAAUGAGAAGGGUCAUGUACCCUCUUAAGAUCAAAGGACAUCAUCAGAGGUCCAAAGGUCAAAAUUUUUUGUGAUACCCAAGUCUGGAAAACUACCUACAUUUUUGAAACCUGGUCUGGAUUAGAAACUGAAGAGCUAAAGAAAAGACAAAGAAUACCACAAUGCUCAGAAAAAGAAGAGACCUUUGGUCAAUGGACCAAAUGCAAAUUCAUAUUUUAUCAGAAAAAUGGAGAGAAGUUUGUCACUUUCACCUUUGUCAUGAACAUUUACUACAUAAAGUACACAUGACUAGCCAAAUAAUUUAAUGUUUUUAAAAUUUUCUAUCUAUUGUUGUACUUUACGUAGCUGAUUUCAUUUCACUGCUAAUUUUUCUUAUCUAGCAAAUUUCUUUUCAAAUGUACAUACAUUAAAUACCUUUGAGUUGGUGGAAAAGGUAUUAUUUGUGAGAAGUCAGUGUCUAUUUGAAUAUAGGCACCCACUAACUGCCAAGAAUAACUGGUGUUCUGUCAUUUGGUUAUUAUCAGCCAUUAAUUUUGAGUGUGACAUAGAAUUAUUCUUUAAUUACCAUUUAUUACUGUAUCAUUACAUUGUUUAAAUUUGAAGGCUGUUACUAUAUGAAUAUUUUUCAAAUCCAGUUGGAGUUUUUUGCAACAUUUUUAGUACUGUUCUGCUUCUCAUAUAAUGCAAAACUAUAAAUUCUGAAGACUGUUGACAUUGUGAAGAUUCAUAAAUGUAUUGUAAAAAAUAUUCAAAUUCAGUUGAAUUUUUUAUGACAUUUCCAGUUUUGUUUUAUUUCUUUUAAUACAAAAGUAUAAGUUCUGAACACACUAUGUUGAAAUUGUAGAGAUUCAUGAAGCAUGCAUAGAUUUAAUGUGUCAUAAAAAUUAAUGUUUUACUAAAUACAAUAAAUUGAAAGUAUAAUUUUCCUGGUAUUUUGGGUAUUUAAUUUUAGGUACAACAGAGAAAUCAACAUUCCUGCAAAAUGCUUCCCAGCUAUAGAAGAAACUUUCUCCUCAGGAAAGGGAGAAGUACCAGAAGGAGGCAGCAGAGUUGUGCCAAGAUCCAACAAAAGGACAACCUCACAGCUGUGUUGCUAACCAACAGCUGAAAGUUAUAAGUAAUGCUGCAAGUCAGCAACUCAGUCACUUCCUGCUUAGACCACUGAAAACAGGGAACAACUUCGUAAAGAAGUUAGAAAGAAGUUCAAGUCUUGCUGGGGUAUUAUUUUAUUUUUCUCUCAAGUUAGUCUUUCAGGGUUAAAAACAAGUACCUGUUAUUAAAUGUGUUCAGAUUAUUAAAUUGUGUCAUUUACAAAUCCAUGAAUCUAAGAAUUAAAUGAGAAAUGUACUUCCUCUGUUCAAAGAGUUUAUUUAUUUACAUUUCAUGUCAGUCAGUUGUAGUUUAUGUAAGAAGAUUUUAAUGUGUUCCUGAUCUUCAUCUACUAAGGCCCAAUAAUUACUGGUAUGUUUAACCUGGUCUUAUAAUGUGAUUGCAGUGCACCAAGACAAAUUGUACAUAAACAGUUCUUUGUUUAAUUCAGGAAUAGAGAUGUGAACCAAGUCUGGGUGUGUA